rnacentral:rRNA from 1 species
UACCAGCUCUCCGAGUGGUAGGGAUGAUUAUUGGGCUUAAAGCGUCCGUAGCCGGCUUAGCAAGUCUCCUGUUAAAUUCAGCGACCUAAUCGUUGAGCCGCGGGAGAUACUACUAGGCUAGGAGGCGGGAGAGGUCAACGGUACUUCCGGGGUAGGGGUGAAAUCCUAUAAUCCCGGGAGGACCACCAGUGGCGAAGGCUGUUGACUAGAACGCGCUCGACGGUGAGGGACGAAAGCUGGGGGAGCGAACCGGAUUAGAUACCCGGGUAGUCCCAGCUGUAAACUAUGCGGGCUAGGUGUUGGGGUGGCUACGGGCCACUUCAGUGCCGCAGGAAAGCCAUUAAGCCCGCCGCCUGGGGAGUACGGCCGCAAGGCUGAAACUUAAGGAAUUGGCGGGGGAGCACCACAAGGGGUGAAGCUUGCGGUUC